rnacentral:rRNA from 1 species
UACAGAGGGUGCGAGCGUUAAUCGGAAUUACUGGGCGUAAAGCGUGCGCAGGCGGUUGUGUAAGUCAGAUGUGAAAUCCCCGGGCUCAACCUGGGAAUUGCAUUUGAGACUGCACGGCUAGAGUGUGUCAGAGGGGGGUAGAAUUCCACGUGUAGCAGUGAAAUGCGUAGAGAUGUGGAGGAAUACCGAUGGCGAAGGCAGCCCCCUGGGAUAACACUGACGCUCAUGCACGAAAGCGUGGGGAGCAAACAGG